rnacentral:rRNA from 1 species
CCUACGGGAGGCAGCAGUGGGGAAUAUUGCACAAUGGGGGAAACCCUGAUGCAGCGACGCCGCGUGAGUGAAGAAGUAUUUCGGUACGUAAAGCUCUAUCAGCAGGGAAGAAAAUGACGGUACCUGACUAAGAAGCCCCGGCUAACUACGUGCCAGCAGCCGCGGUAAUACGUAGGGGGCAAGCGUUAUCCGGAUUUACGGGGUGUAAAGGGAGCGUAGACGGCAGCGCAAGUCUGGAGUGAAAUCCCAUGGCUUAACCAUGGAACUGCUUUGGAAACUGUGCAGCUAGAGUGCAGGAGAGGUAAGCGGAAUUCCUAGUGUAGCGGUGAAAUGCGUAGAUAUUAGGAGGAACACCAGUGGCGAAGGCGGCUUACUGGACUGUAACUGACGUUGAGGCUCGAAAGCGUGGGGAGCAAACAGGAUUAGAUACCCGAGUAGUC